ensembl:lncRNA
GUGUCCGUACGCGUGGGUCUUCAAACGUGUGCACUCACCCCAAUGCGUCUCUGCUGUGCAGGUGUACAUCCAGCACAUGCGUGCCAAGGAGACGGAGCACCCCCGCAAGCUGCGCCUGGUCCGGAAGGGCAACGAGCCUCACUGCUUCACGCGCUGCUUCCACGCCUGGGGGGCCUUCAAGACACCGCCCGCCUAGAGACAAACACACCAUGUUGUUGUUGUCGACCAGUAGGAAGAUGAGGCUGUGGCGCCCCCUGUAUAGCUGCUAGCUUGAUGCGCUCAUGCGUCAUUUAUCCUGAGAGGGAGAGAGAGAGACCAACUCUACUAAUGCUACAGGUGUGUCUCUCCCUCUCUCUUCUCAAGGGGACUUAUGAGGUUAGCAACAAUCACAUUCAAAUGGCCAAAUAAAAACAAAAAGUUUAAAAUUUGCCCGGAUAUUUUUAUACUUAAAAAGGUUUUGUUAGAAGAAAGGUUUGAACGUCAACCCAGUUUUCUUUCUUUAUUUUUAAACCACACAAAAGAACGCGUCUACAUACUUGUUGCUUAUUUAUACCCGUGGGAGGGAUGGAGGUCGUGCUUGUAGUGUGAGGGAAAAGAAAAGGAAAAACUUCAUGAGCAGCAGGCCUGAAUGCAGUUGUUGAUCUGAAGUAGAGAAGUGCUUUUGCAGCAGCUCUAGAAGUGUACAGAAUAUUUUAAUCUAGAGUCUAUGGGACGGCAAGGGUGUCCACCACCCUGAACAUAUCGGCCUGUCGAACAUUGAGGUCAUUAUUAUUAUUUUCUUACCUGGUUCGUUGGGCUACAUGCCGUCCAUGUGGGAGGAAAUGCAGAGUUGUCUUUGUCAGUUGGAAGUUGUGAUGCAAACUUGUUUUAUAAUCGUUUUUUCUUCCUUUUUUUUUUUUUCUGUCUCUUUAUUGAGUGGUUGACCAAGGAGCAGCGUUAUGAUUGGGUGGAUGAGUCGUAGGAGGUGGUGUGUGUGUGUGUGUGUGUGUGUGUGUGUGUGUGUGUGUGUGUGUGUGUGUGUGUGUGUGUGUGUGUGUGUGUGUGUGUGUGUGUGUGUGUGUGUGUGUGUGUACUAAAGACAGACCUGCAUUAAAUGCCUCAACCCGGGCACUCUAAACUCAGUCAAAAAUCCGAUAAUUCGGUUUGAAAAUAGAUAGAUACAUUCUGCUGCGACCACUCUAGUCUGAUAACUAGUGCCCAUUUACAAAAUCAGUGCAUGUAAGCGUUGCGCAAUGCCUUUUGGUUGGAUUCAACAGUUUAAAUUACCUGUUUGAAUAAGCCCACGUCAACGUUAUCGUGCUAAUCCUUGAACUGUUUAAUCAUGUGCAAUCAGAUCACCAAGAGAAAUUAAAUCAGUUUGCAACAUGUAUGCAUGAACAUUGCAUGUAUACAUUCAACAUACAUACAAUGUUCCAAAGGUGAUUGCUUUUUCUUUUAUUUUGCCUUUUUGAUAUGUAUUAAUUUUGCAAUUGUUUACUGUAAGCAAAUUCAUGGGUUAAAGUAUUGUAUCAGCUUGGCUUGUUUUAUCAUUUGGGGAAAUAGCUUUUGAUAUUAUCCGUCUUUGGAAUCAAGCUUUUGGCUUUUCUAAAUGGGAGACACCCUGAAUCAUACAGACAUAUCUCCAAUAAUGAUGGUUGUGCACACAGUGGGCAGAUGUCUUUGGUUAAUGUUAGUUUACCUGUACAGGUAACAGUGGGUUAUGCUUGGUGUUAAUCUGUGCGACAUACAGCAAACUGAACAUGAUGUGCUUCUUCUAUCCGCAUCCAUCUUAUCUAGUUUCAGUCCAAGAACCAAAAAGGAUGGCACAUACUUACCUACACUGCAUUUUCAAACAGAAGUGAGGGACUCUGUUUAGUAUCUUUACAGUGAAUUGUAUGCCUGUUUGUGUGAUAGAUAUCAUGCACACGCUUCCGAUGCCACCUGCAAAUGCUUUAUUUAUGGAUUUUGUAAGAAAUUAAAGGUUUAAGUCACUGUGG